GGCGGUUCGCCGCCGAUGACGUCGCGAGAAGUCCACUGAACCUUAUCAUUUAGAGGAAGGAGAAGUCGUAACAAGGUUUCCGUAGGUGAACCUCGCGGAAGGAUCAUUGUCGAAUCCUAUGGGAAAAAACGACCAGAGAACCGGUUAAAAACUUGACGAGGACGGUGGGUUUUCGCCCAACGUCUCUCGAUACGCCCUGGGAUUCACGCAGGUGCCCUUGUGCGCUCGAGUGUCCCAGCGGCGGAACAACGAACCACGGCGCGGAAAGCGCCAAGGAACUCGAACAAGAGAGCGAAGCUCCCGUCGCCCCGGUCACGGUGCGCGAACGGGAUGCCAUUUGAUCUCCUAUUAUCAUAACGACUCUCGGCAACGGAUAUCUCGGCUCUCGCAUCGAUGAAGAACGUAGCGAACUGCGAUACUUGGUGUGAAUUGCAGAAUCCCGUGAACCAUCGAGUCUUUGAACGCAAGUUGCGCCCGAAGCCGUUUGGCCGAGGGCACGUUUGCCUGGGUGUCACACAUGGCGUUGCCCCAACCCCUCGCUCAGAGGAAACUCGGGCGUGCGGGAGUUGAGUGCGUAAGUUGGCCUCCCGCGACGACCUCGUCCCGGUUGGCCUAAAAUCGAGCGUCCGUGCGAUCGGCACCAUGACAUUCGGUGGUUGACUAGACCCCAAUGAUCAGAUGUUGCGCGUGCCCGCACGAGUUCCGCGGAUCAAUCCAUUACCAACGCGACCCCAGGUCAAGCGGGGCUACCCGCUGAGUUUAAGCAUAUUCAAUAAG
rnacentral:rRNA from 1 species